CCUACGGGUGGCAGCAGUGAGGAAUAUUGGUCAAUGGGCGCGAGCCUGAACCAGCCAAGUAGCGUGAAGGAUGACUGCCCUCUGGGUUGUAAACGUCUUUUAUAUGGGAAUAAAAUGUUCCACGUGUGGGAUUUUGUAUGUACCAUAUGAAUAAGGAUAGGCUAACUCAGUGACAGCAGCCGCGGUAAUACGGCGGAUCCGAGCGUUACCCUGAUUUAUUGGGUUUAAAGGGAGCGUAGGUGGAUUGUUAAGUCAGUUGGGAAAGUUUGGGGCUCAACCGUCAAAUUGCAUUUGAAACUGGCAGUCUUGAGUACAGUAGAGGUGGGCGGAAUUCGUGGUGUAGCGGUGAAAUGCUUAGAUAUCACGAAGAACACCGAUUGCGAAGGCAGUUCACUGGACUGCAACUGACGCUGAGGCUCGAAAGUGUGGGUAUCAAACAGGAUUAGAUACCCGAGUAGUC
rnacentral:rRNA from 1 species